ACCUGUGAUGGAUGCAGACCUAGCAGCCCAGAUCUGGGAUGAACAAAAACUCCAUUUGGCAUGUAUUCAGGAUCUUGAGGGCAAGAACCUGUCACACAAAUCAGGACAAUAAAAAAGGGAGGCAUUGAAUUGGCCGUGUACCGAUGUGCAAGAGGCUCUGUUUCCUUGGAGUUGUUUCACAACCACAUUGUCAGAUUCAUACCAGGUACAGUUGCAAACGACAGCCAUUUCCAAGCAUACCUUUUGGAGGGCAUUGUGCGAUGGAAUAAAGACAGAGAGCAGGGGCGGGAAUGUGG